CAGACGGGAGGCAGCAGGGAGGAAUAUGGGACAAUGGGAGGGAGAAGGAAAAAGCGAAGGAGAGGGAGGGAAGACGGUCCUAUGGAUUGUAAACCUCUUUUAUAUGGGAAUAAAGUGAGGAACGUGUUCCUUUUUGUAUGUACCAUAUGAAUAAGCAUCGGCUAACUCCGUGCCAGCAGCCGCGGUAAUACGGAGGAUGCGAGCGUUAUCCGGAUUUAUUGGGUUUAAAGGGUGCGUAGGUGGUUAAUUAAGUCAGCGGUGAAAGUUUGUGGCUCAACCAUAAAAUUGCCGUUGAAACUGGUUGACUUGAGUAUAUUUGAGGUAGGCGGAAUGCGUGGUGUAGCGGUGAAAUGCAUAGAUAUCACGCAGAACUCCGAUUGCGAAGGCAGCUUACUAAACUAUAACUGACACUGAAGCACGAAAGCGUGGGGAUCAAACAGGAUUAGAUACCCUUGUAGUC
rnacentral:rRNA from 1 species